rnacentral:rRNA from 1 species
UACGAAGGGGGCUAGCGUUGCUCGGAAUCACUGGGCGUAAAGGGCGCGUAGGCGGGUGAUCAAGUCCGGGGUGAAAUCCUUCAGCUCAACUGGAGAAUAGCCUUGGAUACUGGUCGCCUCGAGGGAGGUAGGGGCGGGCGGAACUUCCGGUGGAGCGGUGAAAUGCGUAGAUAUCGGAAGGAACGCCGGUGGCGAAAGCGGCCCGCUGGACCUCUUCUGACGCUGAGGCGCGAAAGCCAGGGGAGCGAACGGG